rnacentral:rRNA from 1 species
UAGCGCGGUGGUCCCACCUGACCCCAUGCCGAACUCAGAAGUGAAACGUCGUAGCGCCGAUGGUAGUGUGGGGUCUCCCCAUGCGAGAGUAGGGAACUGCCAGGC